rnacentral:rRNA from 1 species
GACGAACGCUGGCGGCGUGCUUAACACAUGCAAGUCGAACGCUGAAGCUCAGCUUGCUGGGUGGAUGAGUGGCGAACGGGUGAGUAACACGUGAGUAACCUGCCCUCUUCUUUGGGAUAACGCCCGGAAACGGGUGCUAAUACUGGAUAUUCACUGAUUCUCGCAUGGGGGUUGGUGGAAAGGUUUUUUCUGGUGGGGGAUGGGCUCGCGGCCUAUCAGCUUGUUGGUGGGGUGAUGGCCUACCAAGGCUUUGACGGGUAGCCGGCCUGAGAGGGUGACCGGUCACAUUGGGACUGAGAUACGGCCCAGACUCCUACGGGAGGCAGCAGUGGGGAAUAUUGCACAAUGGGCGAAAGCCUGAUGCAGCGACGCCGCGUGAGGGAGGGAGGCCUUCGGGUUGUAAACCUCUUUCGCUCAUGGUCAAGCCGCAGCUUUGGGUUGUGGUGAGGGUAGUGGGUAAAGAAGCGCCGGCUAACUACGUG